UCAAGACGUGUGAUAGAAUCAAUCUCGUCCUCACAUGCUCGCACCCACUCUUUGAACUUCUUGGCCUCUUCGAACGACCGCGGUUCAUCAUUCAAAACCAUAAGUAGUAUCUCUCCUUCCUCUUCAGCGAAUAGUACAUAAUCUUCUUGGUAUUUUGGAGCCGAAGUGAUUCUCUGAGAUCGUCUCAGAGUGGUUUGCGACUCCUCUUGAUCUUCCUCGCUUUUAGUCUCGUCUUCCUCUCCUAACAACUCCUAUGUUUCCUCUGUUUUAGUCUGAAGCUCAUCAGACUUUGCCUCGUGUAUCCCAUGAUUCCCGAACUCUCCAACCAUUAUCUCAAAACUUCCAGUGUUACCUUGAUUCUCCUUUCUUGUGAUCAAGUUCCACCCUUUUCAUUCGUCAAAAACGACAUCUCGACUCACCACCACUUUCUGUGUUUUAGGAUCAAACAUUCUGUAGGCUUUUGAGCCUGGUUCUGUCCCGAGAUGAACCAACAAACGUGACCUAU
rnacentral:lncRNA from 1 species